ACGGUAGCAGUAGGCCUACUCGACACUGGGGAGCGGGUGAGUAGUAUAUCGGAACGUGCCCAGUCGUGGGGGAUAACGUAUAACAGUUUACGCUAAUACCGCACACAAUCUAAGGAUGAUAGCGGGGGAUUCGCAAGACCCUCGCGCGAUUGUAGCGGCUGAUAUCAAAUUACGUUGUUGGUGAGGUAAAAGCUCACCAAGCCGACAAUCUGUACCUGGUUUGAAAGAACGACCAGCCACACUGGGACUGAGACGCGGCCCAGACUCCUACUGGAGGCAGCAGUGGGGAAUUUUGGACAAUGGGCGAAAGCCUGAUCCAGCACUGCCGCGUGCAGGAAUAUUGCCUUCGGGUUGAAAACUGCUUUUGUACGGAACGAAAAGGCUCUUUCUAAUAAAGAGGGCCCAUGACGGUACCGUAAGAAUAAGCACCGGCUAACUACGUGCGGGCAGCCGCGGUAAUACGUAGGGUGCGAGCGUUAAUCGGAAUUACUGGGCGUAAAGCGUGCGAACGCGGUUCUA
rnacentral:rRNA from 1 species